rnacentral:rRNA from 1 species
CCCUUAGAUGUUCUGGGCUGCACGCGUGCUACACUGAUUACUUCAACAAGUGUUUUAACUGGAGAGUCCGCGUAAUCCUGAAAUGUUAUCGUGAUGGGAGUAGAGUAUUGUAUUUGUUAAUCUUUAACGAGGACUUCCUAGUAAGUGUAGGUUUAUUUGUUUUUUUUUUUACGUCCCUGCCCUUUGUACACACCGCCCGUCGCUCCUACCGAUUGAUUGAUCCGGUGAAUUACAUAGAAUUUUGCGUUUUACAUGACGGAAGAUGAAGUGUUUUAAACCUUAUCAUUUAGAGGAAGGAGAAGUCGUGACA